rfam:Ornithorhynchus anatinus chromosome 5, whole genome shotgun sequence.
CCCCUCUCAGGAUGGCACCUGGAGAGUUUCCAGAACUCUACCAGUCUCAGCUACGGGAGGGAGAGUCAAGCAGACCCAUUCCAUUCCUAGCUUGGCCAGUGGCUAGCGAGUGGAAGGCCAUCCGUUACAAGU